rnacentral:rRNA from 1 species
AUUGAACGCUGGCGGAAUGCUUUACACAUGCAAGUCGAACGGCAGCACGGACUUCGGUCUGGUGGCGAGUGGCGAACGGGUGAGUAAUGUAUCGGAACGUGCCCAGUCGUGGGGGAUAACGUAGUGAAAAUUACGCUAAUACCGCAUACGAUCGAUGGAUGAAAGCGGGGGAUCGCAAGACCUCGCGCGAUUGGGGCGGCCGAUAUCAGAUUAGGGAGUUGGUGGGGUAAAGGCCCACCAAGCCAACGAUCGGUAGCUGGUCUGAGAGGACGACCAGCUUCACUGGAACUGAGCAACGGUCCAGACUCCUACGGGAGGCAGCAGUGGGGAAUUUUGGACAAUGGGCGAAAGCCUGAUCCAGCCAUUCCGCGUGCAGGAUGAAGGCCCUCGGGUUGUAAACUGCUUUUGUACAGAACGAAAAGGUUUCUACUAAUACUAGGAGCUCAUGACGGUACUGUAAGAAUAAGCACCGGCUAACUACGUGCCAGCAGCCGCCGUAA